rnacentral:rRNA from 1 species
GAUGAACGCUGGCGGCGUGCCUAAUACAUGCAAGUCGAGCGAACGGACGAGAAGCUUGCUUCUCUGAUGUUAGCGGCGGACGGGUGAGUAACACGUGGAUAACCUACCUAUAAGACUGGGAUAACUUCGGGAAACCGGAGCUAAUACCGGAUAAUAUUUUGAACCGCAUGGUUCAAAAGUGAAAGACGGUCUUGCUGUCACUUAUAGAUGGAUCCGCGCUGCAUUAGCUAGUUGGUAAGGUAACGGCUUACCAAGGCAACGAUGCAUAGCCGACCUGAGAGGGUGAUCGGCCACACGGGAACUGAGACACGGUCCAGACUCCUAAGGGAGGCAGCAGUAGGGAAUCUGCCGCAAUGGGCGAAAGCCUGACGGAGCAACGCCGCGUGAGUGAUGAAGGUCUUCGGAUCGUAAAACUCUGUUAUUAGGGAAGAACAUAUGUGUAAGUAACUGUGCACAUCUUGACGGUACCUAAUCAGAAAGCCACGGCUAACUACGUG